AGCAGCCGCGGUAAUUCCAGCUCCAAUAGCGUAUAUUAAAGUUGUUGCAGUUAAAAAGCUCGUAGUUGAAUUUCGGGAUCAAUAUUUCGGUCAUGCCGUUGGUAUGCACUGUUAUCAUUGAUUUCUCACCUUCUAAAGAACCGUAAUGCCAUUAAUUUGGUGUUACGGGGAAUUAGGACUGUUACCUUGAAAAAUUAGAGUGUUUAAAGCAGGCUCACGCUUGAAUACAUUAGCAUGGAAUAAUGAAAUAGGACAUCCGAUUCUAUUUUGUUGGUUUCUAGGAUCGAUGUAAUGAUUAAUAGGGAUAGUUGGGGGCAUUAGUAUUCAAUUGUCAGAGGUGAAAUUCUUGGAUUUAUUGAAGACUAACUACUGCGAAAGCAUUUGCCAAGGAUGUUUUCAUUAAUCAAGAACGAGAGUUAGGGGAUCGAAGACGAUCAGAUACCGUCGUAGUCUUAACCAUAAACUAUGCCGACUAGGGAUCGGAUGAUGUUAAUUUUUAAUGACUCAUUC
rnacentral:rRNA from 1 species